UGGGGAAUUUUGGACAAUGGGCGAAAGCCUGAUCCAGCAAUGCCGCGUGUGUGAAGAAGGCCUUCGGGUUGUAAAGCACUUUUGUCCGGAAAGAAAUCCUUGGCUCUAAUACAGUCGGGGGAUGACGGUACCGGAAGAAUAAGCACCGGCUAACUACGUGCCAGCAGCCGCGGUAAUACGUAGGGUGCAAGCGUUAAUCGGAAUUACUGGGCGUAAAGCGUGCGCAGGCGGUUUGCUAAGACCGAUGUGAAAUCCCCGGGCUCAACCUGGGAACUGCAUUGGUGACUGGCAGGCUAGAGUAUGGCAGAGGGGGGUAGAAUUCCACGUGUAGCAGUGAAAUGCGUAGAGAUGUGGAGGAAUACCGAUGGCGAAGGCAGCCCCCUGGGCCAAAUACUGACGCUCAUGCACGAAAAGCGUGGGGAGCAAAACAGGAUUAGAUACCCUGGUAGUCCACGCCCUAAAACGAUGUCAACUAGUUGUUGGGGAUUCAUUUCCUUAGUAACGUAGCUAACGCGUGAAGUUGACCGCCUGGGGGAGUACGGUCGCAAAGAUUAAAAACUC
rnacentral:rRNA from 1 species